rnacentral:lncRNA from 1 species
UAGAUUUGAAGUGAGCCAAGUACAUUUCUUUACAAGGUGCAGUCUUGUGGUAUUGUUUUAUUUUUGAUCAGGAAGUUUAUGAUGGCCAUUAAAACAAUUAUAUAUUAUUGAUGACAAAUCGUUGCUCCAGUUGUGAUGAGUCAGGACUUAUUGUUGUGUUUUGGUACUAUGUAAGUACUACAUGUACAAAAAUGUAUGUAGUAAAUUAAUGUCCUGUAUCUACA